UUGCUUCAGCAGCACACAUACUAAAACUGGAACGACACAGAGAAGGUCAGCACGGCCCCCACGCAAAUUCGUGAAGCCGUCCAUAUUUUU
rnacentral:snRNA from 1 species